rnacentral:rRNA from 1 species
AUUGAACGCUGGCGGCAGGCCUAACACAUGCAAGUCGAACGAGUGGCGGACGGGUGAGUAAUGUCUGGGAAACUGCCCGAUGGAGGGGGGUAACUACUGGAAACGGUCGCUAAUACCGCAUACCAUCGGAUGUUCCCAGAUGGGAUUAGCUAGUAGGUGGGGUACCGGCUAACCUAGGCGACGAUCCCUAGCUGGCCUGCGAGGAUGACCAGCAACACGGGAACGGAGACACGGUCCAGACUCCUACGGAGGGCGGCAGUGGGGAAUAUUGCACAAUGGUCGCAAGCCUGAUGCAGCCAUGCGGCGUGUAGGAAGAAGGCCUUCGGGUUGAAAAGUACUUUCAGCGAGGAGGCGUUACUCACAGAAGAAGCACCGGCUAACUCCGUGCCAGCAGCCGCGGUAAUUC